rnacentral:rRNA from 2 species
UGGGGAAUUUUGCACAAUGGGGGAAACCCUGAUGCAGCGACGCCGCGUGAUUUAGAAGGCCUUCGGGUUGUAAAAAUCUUUUUUAUGGGAUGAAAAUGACAGUACCAUAAGAAUAAGGUCCGGCUAAAUACGUGCCAGCAGCCGCGGUAAUACGUAUGGACCGAGCGUUGUCCGGAAUCAUUGGGCGUAAAGGGUACGUAGGCGGCCCAGUAAGUUAGAAGUGAAAUAAUAUAGCUCAACUAUAUAAAGCUUUUAAAACUGCUCAUCUUGAGAUAUGGAAGGGAAAGUGGAAUUCCUAGUGUAGCGGUGAAAUGCGCAGAUAUUAGGAGGAAUACCGGUGGCGAAGGCGACUUUCUGGCCAUAAUCUGACGCUGAGGUACGAAAGCGUGGGUAGCAAACAGG